CAGUGUCCGUCUCCGUUGUUUCAUCCGUACAAUUUCAUCUCUCGAAAGCCCACGAAGUUUGAGUUGACGGUUCAAGUCACGAACCGUGAUUGUGACAAGCUCGUCAUCGCUUAUAUCCAAACAGGGUCCUGGAGACAGUGGGUCCUGAAUUAUGAUUUUGUGUAUUAGUGAUUAACAGUAACACAUCGAGAGUGAUAAUUAAAUCUAAAAACGUCCAACAGUUAGAUAUCAUAUAGUUGAAUGGGAUGUCUUAAAUGAACACCUGUGCAUAAAAAUGAAUAAGAGGCAAAUUAUCUUCCGUCACUGUCUAUUCCUGAUCCGUGAGCCUGUCGCAAUUGAAGGAAACAACUUACCAUGUCAAUCAUUCCUUUUCCUUGCAAAGGCAUGAUCUAGCUCCUAGGUAUUACCACAGGUAAUGCCUCAUGCAAUGAACCCUCUUUGGCUGUCUUUGAUUGCAACUGUGCUUGCAGCAUGAGCUGUCACUUUCACGUGAGGACGCGUUUGGUAGAUGUCGCUACGAACCGAAUAAUUUUUCGAACACUUGUUUUGAAAAUUCAAUUCGAGAACGUUGGUUGGAACGACGAAUUCGAGAAUGAAGAUUGGCAUAAGGAGAAUAUGACCUAAAAAUUUAUACACUAGAUUUUAGUUAAAAUAUCAACAAGCAAAAGAAUUUUUAUUUUCUUGCCAGUCGUGACAUUUAAGUAUUAUAAGCUAUACCAUAUUGUAAAGAAUUAAUAUUGUAAUGUUGCGUUUGCUAAUUCAAUUGUAAUUUAUUUAUUCCCCUGUGUAAUUCAUCAUUGUAAAUAUAACUAAUUAUAUUAUAUGAAUAA